rnacentral:lncRNA from 1 species
CGAGAUAACAGACUAUAAGUCCCAGAAACUAGGCCAUAAGAUACCAGUUCCAGGAACAGACCAUAAAAUCCAGAACAAGAUCAUAAACCCCCUCCCAAAGAACAGCCUGGGGAUAGCCACAAAGAUGGAGAACUAUCUUAUCUCAGAGUGGAACAAGAUCAUAAACCCCCUCCCAAAGAACAGCCUGGGGAUAGCCACAAAGAUGGAGAACUAUCUUAUCUCAGAGUGGGCCAUCUGCGCUGGGCAGUCCUAUCCCAUCCUAUGGUUAAACGUCCAUGACAUAGGAAUGCAGACCACUGACCACCCGUGACCCCCUAGCACCCACCAAUGAAAUUUUAGAUUAUCUAAUCCUUCUAGAGUUCCCCCGGUUCCCUAUAAGAAGGCCUGUGUGCCUUUGUCUGGGGUCGCCAUUCUGGAAAAUGGCUGACCCCCACACGCUGGUUGUUUCUGCAGAAUAAAUGCUCUUUGUUUUUGCACACU